GCAGACUCGACAAUGGGCUGCGUGGACACACCAAGAGGAGAUUUUUUUUCAAUGCGUUGCGGCAAGUAGGAAAAAACUUUGACAAGAUUACACACCGUGUUCAGAGUAAAAACAAGGAUCAGGUCAGGCAUUACUAUUAUCGUCUUGUUCGGCGCAUGAAGAAGCUACUAGGUCCUAGGUUCUCACUUGAUGCAAAAAACUCCAAGGACACCAUUGCUACUAUGCUUCACUG